GUAUAUGGCCAUACCUCCUGAAUCCACCUGGUCUUGUCUGAUCUUGGAAGCUAAGCAGGGUGGAGUCUGGUUAAUACUUGGAUGGGUGCUGGUCUAUUGAUUGAUUCAUUUCGAAGUUAUAAAAA
rnacentral:rRNA from 1 species